AGCACAUAUACUGCUGCAGUGCGUAUGUCAGUUUUUCACGAUGUUAACAAAACAAAUUAUACGCGUUUUAAUAAAAUAGGCGAUGGUGGUUUUGUUUGCAAUACAAGUACGAGCCUCGCAAAAAUCUUUGCAGGAAAAAAUGUCGAUUUUAAUAUGCGAUGUAGUCAAAAUGCAGUGGAACGACGACGUCUCGACAACAUCACAAUAAUCACGUAGCAGCGGAUAAUACGUUAAAGGGUUUUUAUUUAUUUUAUUCUAAAAGAAAAUGCCCAACUCGUUUUUUAUUUAUUAUUCAUUCUUAGAUUAAGUGUAAAUAUUUUCAUUUGUAAACACAUUCACUGCUUUUGCACUACAGCGUUAGGCCGAUAAAAUACAAAAAAAACUUAUCCUUCUCAUGAAAAAGGCCUUUAAUAACUUUUCAAGAUAAAUUAAAUCAGAAAAUAACGAUCCCAAUGCACAAAUCUCAAACAAUUUAUCAGUUUUAAUCAUCAAUGGUUUAUUUAUCUUAAAAACCGUCGGCGUUUUAAUUAUUUUAUGUAAAUAAAUCAUUAAUGCACAACCGAUAGUAAUGAACUCAAUAACAAUCAAAUUAACCGUUUGUAAUAUUAAAAAAUUAUCCUCGUAUCGCGUACUCUGCUUAUUGUACAGAUAAAUUAUUUUAAAUGAAUUUCUAUUUAUGGCUGUGAUAAAAUAAUUUUAUUUAUUUAUUUAAUAUUUUUAAUUUUUAAUCGAUUUUUUUUUUAUUUGUUAUUCACCCACCGGUUUAGUUUGUUUAGUACUCAGUUAAAUCAAUGUUUUGAAUGUUUGCGAUUGUCAUUUACCUGGUUAUUUAAUUACUUACUACAUUUCGACCUAAUAAUACAAUUACAUACAUAUACUACAUUACUCAACAACAAACUAUUACUUCACAACAAUAAUUGUUGUAAUUAACUGUUAAUAUUACUACAUAACAAAUUUGAAUACUUAAAACUAUGACUUCAGUUACUGUUAUAAUCAAUUAUGUAUGUCUACUAACAAUACCUACAUUUAAUUACACACGAAUAAUGUAAAAUUAGUUAUUUAAUAUCAUAUUAAAUCAAUAUAAUUUACAUUUACACUUCGAUAUGACUAAAUAAUAAUAAUAAAUAAACUUUUCACUUAAACAACUACUUUUAUACCUGUGACAUCCAUAACCCAACUGGAACUGUAAUUUAACGACUACCAAUACAUGACGUACAAUUUACAAGAAGACAUCUGCGACGAAAACGCAUAACACACGCACAAAUCUUUUCUCAUAAAAAUAUUAUAAAAUGUUUAUUUAUGAGUCAACGUUCCAAUAACAACGACUGUUGAAAUAGACGAGUACUGACUGUAAGAAGACUUUAUGAUAAAAAGUGCAUAAUACAAUUUACAUGCAGUCGGAACUAGAGGCGUUCACACGUCUGGCUCGAUUUAGAUAACUUUGACUUUCACACAUUAGACUUACGUUUUAAUUUUUAAUAGGAUAAAUUGUUAAAAUUUAUUCGAUUAUUUUGAUUAGUAAUACUUCAUAUUAUUAUAAUCAGUAAUAAUACUUACUGGUAACUAAUAUAACAUAACAAAACCAUUAGACACAUGAAUAUUUUUUGAUUAUUUAGAAUUGAAUCGUCUUUUUGAAAAAGGUCGUAUUCAAAAAUGUUUUUUUAUUUUUCUUGGUGAUUUAACGCAAUAAGGAAAAAAAGUAACAUAAAAAAAAAAUUGGACAUCUGUACUUUGGCAACCGUACUGUUUACCACACAAAAAUUAAUAAUUACAAACAAAGAUAAACCACGUGAACUAUACGAAGUUAAUUCCUAUUUAAACUAACCAUUACACGUUCUUUAAUUGUUGUAGACAUUUAGGAGCAAUUACAGUUGACGUUUAUGUGUAUUUAAUCAUUCAAUUUAUAAUUUCACUAUAAACUUUCACUUGAAAUCCAAUGCAACACCAUACUGACAAUUGUGCCUAGUGAGGACAGAAUGUAAAAUUGAAAACUUACAAAGAAAGUAGGUCACAAGGUCAUUAACAUGCUUCUCAAAAGAUUUUCACUUAAUGUUGUUGUAUUUUGUGUGUCAAAAAUCAUUUUGUUUAAACAAUAUGAUCAUCGAUCUAAUUAAAAAUAUGAAUAGUAUUAUAAUUGAUAAAGUACAAAAGAGAACCUUAUAAUUAUUUUUAUGUUUUUUGUCGAAUAAUUUUUUUUUGUGACUAAAAUUCGUUAAUAUUCACUAAAUUCUUCAUACAUUACUUACCAAUUACAUCUUAUACACAUUAAUUAACUUAUUACGAUUCGACUAAUCAAAAACAAUUUACAAGAACUAUUUGACUUGCAAAAAAAGAAGCGAGUUUAAGUGAGAGGUAACAAAUGUGACAACUCUCUGGCGUAAUGUUUUUUAUGAAUGAUUUUUUCACGUGUUUGUUUCUCUAAAUAAAUUUAUGGCCAAUAUAAAUAUUUUACAAUCUGACCACAAAUAAAGCCUGUAAUUUUGUAUAUAAUAACUUUUUCCUCGAAUAUUAUUUGGACCUUUUGAUUUAAAACUGGUACAGAUAAUCGCUGUGGAUUUAUUUAUUAACAAUUGACAUUCAGUUUGAGAUGUAAUAGUUCAAGAUAUUUAAAUAAUACUCUUUGACAAACAACUUCUACAGAAAACGUACAGCGAUUGACUAAUGUAUUAGUAUCUUUAUUACCUACUUAAAAUUUAAAGUGACUAUAUUGUUUUUACUAAACUACUUUUCAUUAUACUUAAAACAAUGACAUAAUAAAUUCUACCUAAAAUUUCUAGACAAAUAAUAUAAGUUCAACUCAUUUGAAUUUAACAACUUUUUUUGACGACAAUUACGUCUAACCUGGUACAUUACAACAAAAAACUAUUUUUUUAAUGACUAAAGUAUUGUUAACUAACAAGAUGAAAUUUACUGCAACCUAAAAAACAAAUAUUUUCUUCAUUUUUACAAUUACUACUAUUUUUAGCUGAGAAUUUUAAUAAAAAACAAUAAACUCCUGCAAGUUAAAAAAUAAAACAUUUUUCUAGAAUUAUAACUUUUAAUUAUUGACAGUUAAAUUACUACUAAAAAACGUAUAAAAUAACCAAUACAGAAAAAAAACUAUAACUGUGUAACUUUUUUGAUUUUAUGACACACAAAGAAAACAACCUUAACACAAACAUAUUCAAUUGAAUAUAAUUUAAACGUGAAUUUACUGUAGUAAUGAAUCGCAAUAACACGUUUGAAAACUCUAACUCAACAUGAAAAAAUAUUCGACUUACAAUAGGAUGUAUUAUUUUAUUUUGUUUUUAUAAAGUACGCCACAACGUUUAUACUUAAAAUAUUUUUUAUAGCUCGAUACAAAAUGUAUCCACAAUUUUAUUUUACUACAGUUUUAUAAUUAACUAUUAACUAAAAUUACUGUUACAAAUUUGGUACAUAUAAAUUUUCCUAAAUUGUUUAAACUCUAAGUUUCAAUCAUUUGAUACGCUGCUUCAACGAAACAAACAUUUUUAUGUUUAACGAUAGAUGAAAAAAAAUUAAAUUAAAUAAUUUGAAAAGUAAAAUGUUUUUAUCACCUAGGUAAAAAUAUUAGAUGUAUUCUUAUUCCAAUACUAGUUAGUCUAUUACUUUAACAUUUUCAUAGUAAUUAAUUUUCAUAUGGUAACUAUCAAAAUUUUUUUUUUAAACGUAAUUUGUACAUUACAUAAUAACAUUAUAAGACUUGACUAUACAUAUAUUCUAAGAGUUUAUCAAACAAAAAUUAAUUAUUCUUUAAUUAAAAACACUCAAACCAAUUUAGGACUAUUACAAAUUAAAUACUUAAGCACAAGGUUACCAAUUUUCUUUUUCAUAAAUUUAUCUAUUUAUAAAGUAACAUGUAAACAACUUAAUAAAGAUUUACAAAUACAAGAUAUUAUAUGAUGAAAAUAUUGAUUAACUAUUUGAUUCUAUAACUAAUAAUUCUAACAUGAUAUAUAUGACAUGACAUACAAAUUUUAAAUGUUAUGGAAAAGUUUUACUACAAUAAAUUGCGAUUAUUUGAUUACAAUACUACUUAAAACUAGUUGUAAAUUUUAACUAUUUACUUUACACCUAGUUCUUAUUUAACUAUGCAAAUAAGAAAAUUAAAACUCAUUACUUAAAAUACAAUACAACUUUUUUUUAUAAGUAAUAGUAUGUUUAAAACACAUGACUACACAGUUAAGUUCUGUUCACUCGCUUUGCAUAAAGCCUGUAUGAUUUUUAUUUCUAGAUAGACUAAAAAAUUACUUUUACAACAUUAACUACAACACAAAAUAGAACAAAAGACUUAAUAUCUACUAACGUAUGAUUACAUUAUUUAAAACUAUAAAUAUUAUUUUAUUCUAGUAAGUGUAAAAUAAUUACCUAAAACCUUUUACCAAAAAUUGAUCUCUAAAUUUUUUUAUAUACUUCAGUAAAAGAAAUCAACAUCAUUAUUUUACUAGGAUAUAAAAUUAUCUUAGGAUUUUUAAUGAAAUAUUCGUACUUAACGUAAGACUAACUUAAGAUACAAUAAAAAAUCAACUAUAAACAGUACCUAACUUAAAUAAAUCAGGUGACUAAUAAACGCAUGGAAAAAUCUAUUUAUAUCUAAUUAAAUAAAUUUAUUUAGUACUUUGUUUAUUAUACGAAGAAGAAUAUUUAAUGUAAAAAUAAAAUGAUUUGAUAUUGAAAAUUUUAUGGUAAAACAUAAAUAAUUUAAUGGAAUAUAUAAACUAAAUAUGUGGUUUUUAAUAAAAAUAUAUGUUAUAUGAUUAAGAUGCACAUUUGUAAUGCUUUUUUGAAUAAUUGUUAUAACAACCCAAUAAAUUUUAUAUUAAA